CGUAUCAAGCCUUUCGUCACACCGGGUUGUUGCCAAGAUACAUAGAUCACUUUAUAUUAAAUUCCUUCAACUAACCUGACACACAGCUGUAAAUCAGAGCAUGAAAGGAAAGUCAAUCUGUUGCUGCGCUUUCCUCCGUCUCGUUUUCUUCUUCUCCAUAACUUUAAUGUCUUUUUGCCAAUUUGCCAAAAAAUGCCUGGACUCCCAAGCAUCGGAGGUCACCGAGGGUGAAACCACUUAACAGUCUCCGUUUUUGCCUUUUUAAUAGUUUUAUUUUUGGCUUGAUUAUGGGUGGAUUCCCUCUCUGACAGAUGCUUUCAUCCCUUACUUGUGUAUAAUUAUAUAUAAAUGAUUCAGACUGAAAUGUGCUUUCUUAAUUUCCCAGCACUCCCCAAGGUGUUAUUUACCCAUGUGUCUGAAGUCCGAUCAGAAAGGCUUCUCACCUCAUUAAGACACAGGCUAAAUGGGUUAAGGCCUGAUGAACGUUUCCAGGGAGGAGAGUCCAUAUUUCCUAAACGCCGUAUCUGCAGCUCGCAGUUUUUCCUGGGCAGACACUUUCUCUACUGACGUGGCGAACGAGAGAAAAAUUCUGGAUGAUUCACAAGUUUCCUGAUAACUACGACGUGACCCGGGACAUUAGUCAGAGAACCGUUCGGGGGUCCUGGUUCCCAGCGUCCUGGGCUCUCUCAGGAGACCAAUACGGACUGAUGGGCAGAUAGAUAGCAUCACUGCUCUGCUGCAGA